GAGAGCCAAAUGAAUCGAAAGAUUCAUGUUUGGUUUGGGAAAGGAUCAUGGAAUUUUUGAAAUGGAUGGAAAGAUAAUCUACUUUCAU
rfam:Helianthus annuus linkage group 13, whole genome shotgun sequence.